rnacentral:rRNA from 1 species
UACGAAGGGGGCUAGCGUUGCUCAGAAUCACUGGGCGUAAAGGGCGCGUAGGCGGCGUUUUAAGUCGGGGGUGAAAGCCUGUGGCUCAACCACAGAAUGGCCUUCGAUACUGGGACGCUUGAGUAUGGUAGAGGUUGGUGGAACUGCGAGUGUAGAGGUGAAAUUCGUAGAUAUUCGCAAGAACACCGGUGGCGAAGGCGGCCAACUGGACCAUUACUGACGCUGAGGCGCGAAAGCGUGGGGAGCAAACAGG